rnacentral:lncRNA from 1 species
CUUGCUUUCCUAGUGAUUCUACUUCUGCUACGCUUCCUAAUUUUGAUGGUGUGUCAUUCCGUAUUGAACGUUUUAAGCCGGGAUUUGUUUACCAAAGACGUCGUCCACAGUCCCCAACGCUUUUUCAAAAUCUUGAAAACCGACAUCUAAUCCUCUCUCGACUGAACCUCGAUGAUCUUCUCGAGUUUCUAAUCCUCUAGAUAGGUAUGUGUACUCUUAUACUGGUAAGCAUGAUACUCUUGAUACAACAAGUAUACGCAAAUCAUACUCUCAGGCAACUACUUAAUCCUGUUGGUGAAAAGCUAUGUAAGAAGAACUUCAGGCAAUACUGCACAAUCACACAUGGGACAUCAUUCCAUGUCCUGAUGGGGCGAAGCUCAUUGGAUGCAAAUGGGUAUAUACUAUCAAGCAUUGGACUGAUGGCACUAUAGAAAGGUAUAAAGCUCGUUUGAUGGCUCUUGGGAAUUGUCAAGAAUAUGGCCUUGAUUAUGAGGAGACCUUUGUACCUGUGGCUAAAAUGACUUAUGUACGUACUAUCAUGGUUAUCACUGUUUCCAAAGGUUGGGCUCUUCGGCAGAUGGAUGCGAAGAUGCAUUCUUACAUGGAGAUCUGAAGAAAGAUAUCUAUAUGACUCCUCCUCCUGGUCUUUUCACUCAUUUUUCCACUGAGGUUUGUCGAUUGAAGAAGUCCUUGUACGGGUUAAAGCAGGAACCAUGAGCAUGGUUUGAAAAGUUUUGUAACACUCUUCUUGAUUUUCAUUUACUCGGAGUCAGUUUGAUUCUUCUCUCUUUCUUAAAAAGACUGCCACUGGACUUGUUGUGCUCUUGGUAUAUGUAAAUGAUGUAGUCAUUAUAGGGUCUGAUUCUCAGUCAAUCGAAAAAUUCUAGCACCAUCACAAAAAUAUCAUUCAUAUGAAAGAUCUUGGUCCACUUUAGUAUUUUCUUGGUCUUGAGGUGCAUUCUUGUUCUACUGGUAUGUUCUUACAUCAACAUAAGUAUACUCAAGAGAUUCUCACCUUGGCUGGUCUUCAGUCUGGGAACUCGGUACUUACACUUUUGGAGAUUAAUUUGAAGCUUCGUCAGGAAGAGGAUGAAUUAUUACCUGAUCCGUCUUUAUAUCGACAACUAGUAGGGAGUUUGAAUUACUUAACAAUUACGCGAUCGGAUAUUUCCUUCGCUGCACAGCAGGUGAAUCAAUUUAUGCAAGCCCCUCGCCAUUCUCAUUUAGCAGCUGUCUGACGGAUUCUUCAUUAGGGUACAUCUAGUCAUGGG